ensembl:lncRNA
AUGAAUGGAGAAUAUCAUGUUUUUCAAUGUGCGCUCGACCAUUUCCGUCAGUGGUGCUUAGAUCACUUGAUGAGGUCCGCACAUCCUUUGCGCAAAAACUAUGCCACAAAAAGAAUAAAUAAAAAGGCAAAAGAACAUAUGUACGUUUUCACAAUGAGUGAAAAUGCUGAGAUGCGAGCAGCUAUCGUCAAAUCAUCAGGAUGGAAUGAAAGGUAGAGUUAAGUGUCAUCAGCAUAGCAGUGGUAUAAAAAGCCAAGUUUCUGAAUGACAGAACCAAGUGAUGCCAUGUAGACAGAGAAGAGAAGUGGUCCAAGAACUGAGCCCUGAGGCACCCCAGUAGUUAGAUGUUGCGACUUGGACACCUCACCUCUCCAAGAUACUUUGAAGGACCUAUCUGAUAGGCAGUGUUGGGUGUAACGUGUUACUAAGUAUCCACUGAAAAAAGUAAAGUAAGGGAUUACUGCUCAUUCUUAGGUAAUUUAAUUUCAGUUACUUAUAAAGUACUUGCGUUACAUACAGUAAAUAAUUUCAACAGUUCUAAAAUCAAUAUUGAAUUUGAAAUCUAAAUUUACUGUCUAAAGAUAAUUGAAUGCAGCACUUUUAUUUGUGUACAAAGACAAUAACAACAAAACACUGUGCUUUUGCAAAAUAAAAAAAAUAAAAAACGGUGCAAUUUCUGCCGUCUAGGUCUCCGUGAGCAACUUUAUACAUGUCACAAACUCAGCAAAAUUUGACACAGAGACAUGAGAAAUAUGUCUAUAGAAAGCCUGUGUCUACUUUUUAACAGAUUCAAAUUGAAAACUAAUAUUCUUAACCAAAUUAAAGCGAGAUACAGUCUUUCUUGCAUCGGAGCUUGAAGUGUCUAAUUUUAAAUGAACAAAUUCAAAUCGAAAACGAAUAUUAUCUGAUUAUGUAAUCCAUAUGAAACUAAAGCGAGGUCAUAGGUGGAGGGUGAACCAACUCCAGGGUAAGGCUAAAAGCAGCCAAAUGUAUUAAACAUCAUAAAACCAUCUCUAUAGGCAACAGCCAGACAUGGGUGUCAUUUAGGCUAAUAAAAUAUGUUUAAUGGGACUGAAUUUGUAUUGGAACGUGAUUACAAUUUAAUAAAAACUUUAGAAAUGUAUAAUUAGGCUCUAUAACGUUUCUUUUCCAUGGUUAUUCAAACAGCAAAUAAAUUAUAGCUAAUGUUAUAUAGAAAUGAACUGACAUUAUCACUAACUUCAGAGGCGUCGUCCAUUCAAAGUAAGGGGCCACGUUCCCCCUCAGAUUUCUAAGCCAAGUGGAUUUUAAAUGCAGCUUCCAAAAGACAAAAAUAGCCAAAUAAUAUUUUUUAUAUUUGAUACAAUCACACUGGUGUAAUUAGAUCGUUCAGUGUGGCACUGCUGCUAAAUUCAAAUCUGCGUUCGCACUUUGGCUAGCGCUGAGCCAGAAGCGUUUGUACAGCACUGCUGCCUUAUAACAAAUCACACACAAUUCUGUUGAUCUUAUGAAUGAAAUGGCCAUUUAUAUAAUUUAUUCUUACCUACAUUA